rnacentral:rRNA from 2 species
AUUGGGCGUAAGAGCUCGUAGGCGGUUUGUCGCGUCUGCUGUGAAAUCCCGAGGCUCAACCUCGGGCUUGCAGUGGGUACGGGCAGACUAGAGUGCGGUAGGGGAGAUUGGAAUUCCUGGUGUAGCGGUGGAAUGCGCAGAUAUCAGGAGGAACACCGAUGGCGAAGGCAGAUCUCUGGGCCGUAACUGACGCUGAGGAGCGAAAGCAUGGGGAGCGAACAGGAUUAGAUACCCUGGUAGUCCAUGCCGUAAACGUUGGGCGCUAGAUGUAGGGACCUUUCCACGGUUUCUGUGUCGUAGCUAACGCAUUAAGCGCCCCGCCUGGGGAGUACGGCCGCAAGGCUAAAACUCAAAGGAAUUGACGGGGGCCCGCACAAGCGGCGGAGCAUGCGGAUUAAUUCGAUGCAACGCGAAGAACCUUACCAAGGCUUGACAUACACCGGAAACGGCCAGAGAUGGUCGCCCCCUUGUGGUCGGUGUACAGGUGGUGCAUGGUUGUCGUCAGCUCGUGUCGUGAGAUGUUGGGUUAAGUCCCGCAACGAGCGCAACCCUCGUUCUAUGUUGCCAGCGGGUUAUGCCGGGGACUCAUAGGAGACUGCCGGGGUCAACUCGGAGGAAGGUGGGGAUGACGUCAAAUCAUCAUGCCCCUUAUGUCUUGGGCUUCACGCAUGCUACAAUGGCCGGUACAAAGGGCUGCGAUACCGUAAGGUGGAGCGAAUCCCAAAAAGCCGGUCUCAGUUCGGAUUGAGGUCUGCAACUCGACCUCAUGAAGUCGGAGUCGCUAGUAAUCGCAGAUCAGCAACGCUGCGGUGAAUACGUUCCCGGGCCUUGUACACACCGCCCGUCAAGUCAUGAAAGUCGGUAACACCCGAAGCCGGUGGCCUAACCCUUGUGGAAGGAGCCGUCGAAGUGGGAUC